CUAGCAGUCUUUAUCUUCUCGACCUUCUCCAUGUUCUCGGAUGAUUUUCAAGUUUCCUCGAUUUACCAUCCUCUCCGACUGGAUGAGAGAGAAAUCUGAAAGCCAUUUGACAAUACAAACUAUAUAUUGACGUUGUCUCUCCCAUCGCCGAAGCACCAUGGUAGAUCUAUUAUCCUUCUCUACCUAUCAUGUGGGGCUCUUUAGUUGGAGAACAAGCUUAUGUAUAUGCCAAAUGAUCAUACUUCUACCACAAAGUUGGAUAUAUAUAUAUGGAGUUUAGUGAUAUUGCAGGUCCUUGAUCCCUACUUGUUUAUGAUGAAGUUCAUAUAUAUGUACAUGGAAUUUAUCAUCAGUAGUGUUUCAUGUGGAUCCAUAUAUAAAUAUAUGCUUUGAAGAAGCACAUCAAAAACAGACAAGUCCAUUGUGUCUCCCCAUCUAUUGAGCUUAUUCUAGAAUAUAUAGCCUCUACAAUGUCAAGGUCCACUGCAAACAAGCUUCUGAAAUUGUUUUGUCAUUGUAACAAAAAAACACUUUGCUGCUAAGCAUUGACUUACUAAGAAAUCAUGUAUGUCAAUCUUGUGUGUCUAUAUGUUUGUUGAGAAAGUAUAUAUGUGCGAUUGCAUUUGCACAUAUAUAUUCUUCUUACACUCUCUUAGUUCUAUUAAAUGAAGUGCCAUGAUCGAGGUCAUAUUAUCUGUCCAAAAAAGUACUACUAGUUUUUUCUUUACAUUAUGUAAUGAUCAACCAAGUAUUACAUUGUUGGUUAUUCUUUAAA